GAUGAAGAACGCAGUGAAAUGCGAUAAGUAAUGUGAAUUGCAGAAUUCAGUGAAUCAUCGAAUCUUUGAACGCACAUUGCACUCAUUAGUAUUCUAGUGAGUAUGCCUGUUCGAGCGUCAUUUCAACCCUUAAGCCUAGCUUAGUGUUGGGACUCUACCCUAACCGGUAGUUCCCCAAAAUCAGUUGGCGGAGUUCAGUCGGCUCUGAGUGUAGUAAUUUUCUCUCGCUUUAGAAGUCUUCUGGAUUAGGGCCAGAAAGAGACGAGUCUCGCAUCUCGGUGCGUUUCUCAACUUUUUUUUACAAUGGUUGACCUCGGAUCAGGUAGGAAUACCCGCUGAACUUAAGCAUAUCAAUAAGCGGAGGA
rnacentral:misc_RNA from 1 species